rnacentral:rRNA from 1 species
CCUACGGGUGGCAGCAGGGAGGAAGAGUGGUCAAUGGCCGGAAGGCGGAACCAGCCAAGUCGAGGGAAGGAAGAAGGAUCUAUGGUUUGUAAACUUCUUUUAUAGGGGAAUAAAGGUAUCCACGUGUGGAUAUUUGCAUGUACCCUAUGAAUAAGCAUCGGCUAACUCCGUGCCAGCAGCCGCGGUAAUACGGGGGAUGCGAGCGUUAUCCGGAUUUUUUUGGUUUAAAGGGUGCGUAGGUUGUUUUUUAAGUCAGCGGUAAACGUUUGUGGCUCAACCAUAAAAUUGCCGUUAAAACUGGGGACUUGAGUGUGUUUGAGGUAGGCGGAAUGCGUGGUGUAGCGGUGAAAUGCAUAGAUAUCACGCAGAACUCCGAUUGCGAAGGCAGCUUACU